UACGGAGGGUGCAAGCGUUAUCCGGAUUUACUGGGCUUAAAGGGUGUGUAGGCGGGCCUUUAAGUCAGUGGUGAAAUCUCCAGGCUCAACCUGGAAACUGCCAUUGAUACUAUUGGUCUUGAAUUCUGUUGAGGUAGGCGGAAUAAGUCAUGUAGCGGUGAAAUGCAUAGAUAUGACUUAGAACACCAAUUGCGUAGGCAGCUUACUACACGAUCAUUGACGCUGAGGCACGAAAGCGUGGGGAGCAAACAGG
rnacentral:rRNA from 1 species